CGCGAAUGGCUCAUUAUAACAGCUAUAAUUUACUUGAUCUUGACACAAUCCUACUUGGAUAACUGUGGUAAUUCUAGAGCUAAUACAUGCAUUAAAGCUCUGACCGCAAGGGAAGAGUGCACUUAUUAGAACAAAACCAAGCGGCUUCGGCUGUUUUCGGUUGACUCAUAGUAACUGAGCUGAUCGCACGGUCUUGCACCGGCGACGUGUCUUUCAAGUAUCUGCCGUAUCAACUUUCGAUGGCAGUGUAUCUGACUACCAUGGUGAUCACGCGUAACGGAGAAUAAGGGUUCGGCUCCGGAGAGUUCGCCUGAGAAAUCGCGAACACAUCUAAGGAAGGCAGCAGGCGCGAAAAUUACCCACUCUCAGCACGAGGAGGUAGUGACGAAAAAUAACGAGACCGUUCUCUUAUGAGGCCGGUCAUCGGAAUGGGUACAAUUUAAACCCUUUAACGAGUAUCUAUGAGAGGGCAAGUCUGGUGCCAGCAGCCGCGGUAAUUCCAGCU
rnacentral:rRNA from 1 species